rnacentral:rRNA from 1 species
CGAAUGCUGACGUGAGUAACGACAAAACGGGUGAAAAACCCGUUCGCCGAAAGACCAAGGGUUCCAGUCCAACGUUAAUCGGGGCUGGGUGAGUCGACCCCUAAGGCGAGGCCGAAAGGCGUAGUCGAUGGGAAAAUGGUUAAUAUUCCAUUACUUCUGUGUAAUGCGAUGAGAGGACGGAGAAGGCUAAAUCAGCCUGGCGUUGGUUGUCCAGGUGAAAGGAUGUAGGCAUGUAUCUUAGGCAAAUCCGGGGUACUCUAUGCUGAGAUCUGAUAGCAAGCUGUACUUGUACAGCGAAGUGGUUGAUGCCAUGCUUCCAGGAAAAGUCUCUAAGCUUCAGUUACACAGGAAUCGUACCCGAAACCGACACAGGUGGUCAGGUCGAGUAGACCAAGGCGCUUGAGAGAACUCUGCUGAAGGAACUAGGCAAAAUGGUACCGUAACUUCGGGAGAAGGUACGCUGUUGUUGGUGAUGGAACUCGCUUCCUGAGCUGACGACAGCCGCAGAAACCAGGCCGCUGCAACUGUUUAUUAAAAACAUAGCACUCUGCAAACACGAAAGUGGACGUAUAGGGUGUGAUGCCUGCCCGGUGCUGGAAGGUUAAUUGAUGGGGUUAGCGUAAGCGAAGCUCUUGAUCGAAGCCCCAGUAAACGGCGGCCGUAACUAUAACGGUCCUAAGGUAGCGAAAUUCCUUGUCGGGUAAGUUCCGACCUGCACGAAUGGCAUAAUGAUGGCGGCGCUGUCUCCAGCAGAGGCUCAGUGAAAUCGAAAUCGCUGUGAAGAUGCAGUGUACCCGCGGCUAGACGGAAAGACCCCGUGAACCUUUACUGCAGCUUGACACUGAACUUUGACCUUACUUGUGUAGGAUAGGUGGGAGGCUUUGAAGCUGGAACGCUAGUUCCAGUGG